UGAUGGUUCUCAGUAUCUUACACAACAUGCUGACAUCUCUGCUAAACCAAAGUUCAUAAGAAAGAGAAAUAACUUACUUUCCUAAGUUUUCAACAGGUCCCAGACAGGUUGAAAAACAGUAGUUGUAUGCUAUCACAAUGGAAGGAUAUAAUGACUGGAAGUCUAGUACAAGAACAGCGUUGCUGUAGAAGCGGGAUUCUGGCUCCAUUAUUAAGGGAACACAUUGAGGGGCUUUCAUUUGAGCUCGCUGCUGGAUACUGGGUGUCACAGGGAUAUAAUUCAUUGGCUUUGCAACACGCAGCAUCAUAGAUUCCACACGAUACUGGGAGCCUCUUGUUAAAACAUGUAAGAACUGAAUGCCAAAAAGUCUCGCCAUUUCACUUGUUCUGUCAAUCAAAUCCAGUUUUUGUAACAACUGGAGGUUCCCAUGGACCCGGCUAACAUAAUGAUCAACCAUUUUCCAUCUGUAGACAUCCGCCUUGUUAUCAAACCAGUCAGACAGGACUCGGAAAGUAAACAGAGGAAAACGUUGAUGAAGAACAUGAAAGCCCACAUUUUCAAAGGUGUAAUUCAUUAGAUUCACCUCAUUUCUCAUCAUUCUCCAAAUAUUUAAGAUAAUUCUCCCAACAAUAUUUAUUUCACUCAUUGUAUCCGACCCAUAUUCAUCCAGCUCAGCUGCGAAUCUGUUCUCUUUAUUAUCAUCUAAAGGCAUUAAAAGAAAAUAUAUUGAGACAAGUUAGAGUACAGUCAACAUUGUCUAUCUGCUCAUUAGAGGGGUCUACAAAAAUAAUACUGACUGUAAAAGAUCGCUAAAUAAAAUUUCUCCAAGUUUUUUCUACUCUUUCACAUCCCUCUGAAGAUAACUUUUUUGUUUCAUUGAAAUGGUGUCCACGGCAAUAUAUUCUCCAUAGUGAAUAUACUGGCUAAGUAACGUUGAUGUUACAUGAGAGCUAGCUGCAAGUUUAUCAGUGCAUAAUACACACAAGAAGAGUGACUUCAGCCCCAAAGAAUUUAUAACUCAAGGUUUUAGUUCUAGUGGUUUUACACAAUUGGAACCAAGUCACAGGAGAGAAAACUCAGCACUUUUUAUUCUGUGAAAGCAAAAACCUUACAGUGGGAGGAGGUACACGUAAAUUCUGGAUAGCACAAAUGGAGAGAGAAGGAAACAGGAAGGAACAAAUAUAGAGACAGAAGUAGCAAUCUGACUUUCUGUAACACAGUGGUGAUUACCCUAUAAGCAAGAUAAGCUUUUUCCAUCUUUUUUUUAAUACACUGAAAUAUUAGAACACAGGAGAAGACAGUCUCUGGUACACAUUCCUUGAAAAUGUCUUUCUUUCAGUAAACCUGAGGCUACAGGUUUGGUAUCCUUUCCUGAAAAAUCUAACAAAAGUGAGGAACUUAUAUUUCCC
rnacentral:lncRNA from 1 species